rnacentral:misc_RNA from 1 species
UUCGUGGUCUGCUUUGAUGUCCGGGUAUGCUCAGAACGGGCAACCCAAUGAAGCUGUCAAAAUUUUCCAUGAAAUGUUGUCGAUGAAUGUUAGGCCAGAUGAGUUUAUAAUGGUAAGUUUGAUGUGUGCGUGUUCCCAGUUAGGUCGUCUGGACCUGGCAAACUGGGUAGAACAUUAUAUGAGCCAAAAUUCAUUUGAUCUUAAUCAAGUUCAUAUAG